rnacentral:rRNA from 1 species
UACGUAGGGCGCAAGCGUUGUCCGGAAUUAUUGGGCGUAAAGAGCUCGUAGGCGGCUUGUCGCGUCGAUUGUGAAAGCCCGGGGCUCAACCCCGGGUCUGCAGUCGAUACGGGCAGGCUAGAGUGUGGUAGGGGAGAUCGGAAUUCCUGGUGUAGCGGUGAAAUGCGCAGAUAUCUGGAGGAACACCGGUGGCGAAGGCGGCAUCCUGGACCAACACUGACGCUGAGGAGCGAAAGCCAGGGGAGCAAACGGG